rnacentral:rRNA from 1 species
GAUGAACGCUGGCGGCGUGCCUAAUACAUGCAAGUCGAACGCUGGAGAUCUAGCUUGCUAGAUCGAAGGAGUGGCGAACGGGUGAGUAAUACAUAAGCAACCUACCCACGAAGACUGGGAUAAUCUCUGGAAACGGGGACUAAUACCGGAUAGGUAAUCGGAAGGCAUCUUCUGGUUAUUAAAGGUUAAAAACACUGGUGGAUGGGCUUAUGGCGCAUUAGUUAGUUGGUGAGGUAACGGCCCACCAAGACGAUGAUGCGUAGCCGGCCUGAGAGGGUGAACGGCCACAUUGGGACUGAGACACGGCCCAGACUCCUACGGGAGGCAGCAGUAGGGAAUUUUCGGCAAUGGGGGCAACCCUGACCGAGCAACGCCGCGUGAGUGAAGACGGCCUUCGGGUUGUAAAGCUCUGUUGUAAGGGAAGAACGGUAGAUAGAGAAUAUCUAAGUGACGGUACCUUACCAGAAAGCCUCGGCUAACUACGUG